GUUGGGAUUGAGGUCAGGAUGUGGGAUGUAAAGAAAUGUGCCCUGUUCACAGGUGGGUCGUGUGGUGUUGUGGGGAAGCACUGCAGAUGGAAAGCUGCUGUGUGGAGCCCCACAGGAUGAGUUGCAGAGGCCCCUGAAGGAAAAGGAGAAGGAAGGGCAUUUGCAGAGGGAAAGGCUGUCCCGCUGGCCUUAGGUGUUGCUGAACGGGAGGGGUGGCCAAUGCUUUCUCUUUCCGCUGACUCACGGAGGGUGGCAAAUGCCUUCUGGGGGUGGUUCCAGCAGUGGGAAGAAAACAACUGGCAGCGGAGGGGUGAACCUCUUUGGGCUGCUGAGCUGUGUGCUGAACCAUAAGGAAGGUGGCUGUAAAGGUGUGCCGUGCAGAUGUCGUGUGCCCAGCAGUCGGGCCGAUGAAGAGCAACAAGUGAAGCGCCAGGUGGGUCGAGCUGCCACAAUUGAGGCUUUCUUUAUUUGCCCUUGCUUUGCUUUGCUCUGCUCUUUUGUUCUUCCUUUUCACCUCUGCUUCACAUUGCUUUGCGUUGCUUUCUGGCUUUCUUUGCUUUGCUUGAUUUCCGACUCUGCUUCUUCUCUCUUCUUCCCGUUGCUUUCGUGUUUCCUCUUUUUCAGUUGGCUUUUAAUUUGGAUGUCCUUUGUUGAUCUUUUGCUUCCAUUUCUCUUUCUGACAGUGUAACUCAGUGCUGUUCUCUGUGCGUUCCUGCUGUGCUUCUGGCUGGCUUUUGCUUUCCCCAUCAGCUGGCUUUCUCUUAUUGUUGUUUGUUCUAAAAGUAUCUCUGUGUUUUCUCCUCUUUUCAAAUGGUUUUUCUGUGGUCUCCUUUCAGUUUCCUAUUUGUUUUGUAAUUACAUUCUUCUUUGCCUUCUUUUCCUUGCCCG
ensembl:lncRNA